GUGCUUACUUUGGCAGCACAUACAGUAAAGUUGGAACAAUACAAAGAUUAGCAUAGCCACUGUGCAAGGAUGACACACAAAUUCGUGAAGUGUUAAUAUUUUAA